rnacentral:lncRNA from 1 species
AAAAUCCACUAGUUUUGCGCUUUUGCAAAAGUGGGUCACCUUUUUCGAUUUUUCCAAUUCAGGCCGGAUUUUCAGCAAACUGAUCAAAAUACCCUUGUACCUUUUUCUCUCUCUUUUUUUUUUCUCUCGUUCUUUUUUUCUUUUUCUUCCCAAGAGAGCGGCGGAGGCGGAGGCGGAGGCGGAGGCGGCUUGCUUCGAUUUUGUUCAAUGCAUUCUUACCCUCGCUCACGCACCUCCCGCUUUCCUCGCCUCCGAUCCCGCUGAGAUCGCGCUGCGACUUUUUUUUCCCUCUCUCCGACCCUCCUCCACCGUCUCCAACGACAAUGCCUAUCUCACCCUCUCUUACCCUUCUCACCUUUUCCCUCUCCCUCCUCCUUUGCCUCAUCCGCCGCCUCCGACGACGACGCCUCUCCGCCGAU